UGGGGAAUUUUGGACAAUGGGGGAAACCCUGAUCCAGCCAUCCCGCGUGUACGAUGAAGGCCUUCGGGUUGUAAAGCACUUUUGGCAGGAAAGAAACGUCAUGGGUUAAUACCCCGUGAAACUGACGGUACCUGCAGAAUAAGCACCGGCUAACUACGUGCCAGCAGCCGCGGUAAUACGUAGGGUGCAAGCGUUAAUCGGAAUUACUGGGCGUAAAGCGUGCGCAGGCGGUUCGGAAAGAAAGAUGUGAAAUCCCAGAGCUCAACUUUGGAACUGCAUUUUUAACUACCGGGCUAGAGUGUGUCAGAGGGAGGUGGAAUUCCGCGUGUAGCAGUGAAAUGCGUAGAUAUGCGGAGGAACACCGAUGGCGAAGGCAGCCUCCUGGGAUAACACUGACGCUCAUGCACGAAAGCGUGGGGAGCAAACAGG
rnacentral:rRNA from 1 species